rnacentral:rRNA from 1 species
CUCCAGACUCCUACGGGAGGCAGCAGUGGGGAAUAUUGGGCAAUGGACGCAAGUCUGACCCAGCAACGCCGCGUGAAGGAAGAAGGCUUUCGGGUUGUAAACUUCUUUUAAGGGGGAAGAGUAGAAGACGGUACCCCUUGAAUAAGCCACGGCUAACUACGUGCCAGCAGCCGCGGUAAUACGUAGGUGGCAAGCGUUGUCCGGAUUUACUGGGUGUAAAGGGAGCGUAGGCGGUGAUGCAAGUCAGAAGUGAAAGCCCGCAGCUCAACUGCGGGACUGCUUUUGAAACUGUAUGACUAGAUUGCAGGAGAGGUAAGUGGAAUUCCUAGUGUAGCGGUGAAAUGCGUAGAUAUUAGGAGGAACACCAGUGGCGAAGGCGGCUUACUGGACUGUAAAUGACGCUGAGGCUCGAAAGCGUGGGGAGCAAACAGGAUUAGAUACCCCGGUA